CCGACGGUGAGAGACGAAAGCUGGGGGCACGAACCGGAUUAGAUACCCGGGUAGUCCCAGCCGUAAACGAUGCUCGCUAGGUGUCUGGGAUGGUGCGACCGUUUCAGGUGCCGCAGGGAAGCCGUGAAGCGAGCCACCUGGGAAGUACGGCCGCAAGGCUGAAACUUAAAGGAAUUGGCGGGGGAGCACUACAACGGGUGGAGCCUGCGGUUUAAUUGGACUCAACGCCGGAAAACUCACCUGGGGC
rnacentral:rRNA from 1 species